rnacentral:misc_RNA from 1 species
GAUGAAGAACGUAGCGAAAUGCGAUAAGUAAUGUGAAUUGCAGAAUUCAGUGAAUCAUCGAAUCUUUGAACGCACCUUGCACCCUUUGGCAUUCCGAAGGGUAUGCUCGUUUGAGUGUCAUUGUACUCUCACACUCUCCGAUCCUAUGGAUUCGGGGAGCGGUGGACCUGGGUGUUGCUGCCUUUCCCUGUGGCUCACCUCAAAUGCGUCAGUGCACCUCUUGGUUGGACAUAGUACGGCGUGAUAAGUGUCUUCGCCGGCACCUCGCAAGAGGGUGGCCGAUCGGGAGCUCUGCGCUUUCAAACCGUCUUCGGACAAUUUCUGACAUCUUGACCUCAAAUCGAGUAGGACUACCCGCUGAACUUAAGCAUAUCAAUAAGCGGAGGA